UUUUCUUCUUCAACUAAAUUUAACCUCUCGACAAUAGGGUUGGUUGGAAUUUCCGGUUCACAUACCUCCUAGAUAAAUAAAACCUAUGUCACGUUGGUCGGCAUAAUUGUCAUAAACAAUAAAUGAACCAAAUAGUUAUAAAGAUAAUAUAUACCACAUCCGAAUCAUAUGCAGGACGAGGGCCGACGGUGGUGGAUACCAAAACCAUCGCACUAAAUAAUAAGAAGCAAUAAUAAAAGUAAGAAAAUUAUACAACUAUCUAUAUAAACAUACAAGUAAGAAUUUUUUUCCUCUCAGAAAGAAGAUAAGAACAAGAGGCUCACCACGGUGGUGCCGGCGAUGAGAUCGGCGCGGGCGAUCGACGGCAGUGAAGACGGGGACGAGACAUGAGGGACCGCUAAACUUAGAAAAAUAUUGAGGAAAAUGGAGCUUGGAGGUCAAGCUUAGAGAGGAGAAAGCUUAAGUAGUGUGGCUCAGGCAUUCCAUUCAACACCUAGUGUGCAUAGGAGGUGAGCUAGAGCACCACAAAGCUCUCCAACAGCCGGCCAGAAAAACAGAGCAGUGGAGUGCUCUGCUCGUGGGCGAGGGGGGUAUAUAUAGGCAACUCAUUGGUCCCAGUUCGUGGCAUGAACCAGGACUAAAGGACACCCUUUGGUCCCAAUUCAAGCCGCCAACCGGUACCACUGAUGGUGGAGGACCAUUGGUCCCGGUUUGUCACAACAACCGGGACCGAAGGGUCCAGACGAACUGGGACUUAUGCCCCCACGAGGCCCGGCAGGCCCUCUGGCCUCAUGAACCGUAACCAAUGAGCCCAUGGGUCCCGGUUCGUGACUGAACCGGGACUAAUGGGCUGACCUCACUCGAACAUAUGCCCUGUUUUCUACUAGUGGGGUUCGUUUACGUGUCGUUCACAAGGAAUCCUAGUCUUGUUCGAUUGUGGGCUCUUUGAUGGAAUAUUAGUCACCGUUUUGGGGUCCAAGAGUUAUUUCCACGAUUAACGAUCCCCAGGGUGCGUUUAUGUGUCCGUCGUCAACACUCACAAUUUUGGCCAAUUCUGGCCCGUUUCAUGGACUAUUACUCACCGUUUUGGGGUCCCAAAGCGAUUUCCAUGGUUGUUGAACCCCAAGGUGUGCUUACAUGUCGGUCAUCAACACUCGCAGUUUGGGCCGAUUCUGGCCCGUUUAUUAGACUAUUACUCAGUUUUGGGGUCCCAGAGUGAUUUCUACGAUUGACGAACCCCGGGGUGCGUUUACGUGUCGGUCAUCAACACUCACAAUUUUGGCCGAUAUUGGUCUGUUUCAUGCACUAUUGCUCACCGUUUUGAGGUCCCAGAGAGAUUUCCAUGUUUGACGAUCGCCGGGGUGCAUUUACGUGUCCGUCGUCAACAUUCACAGUUUUGGCCAAUUCUGACCCAUUCCGUGGACUAUUACUCACCCUAUUGGGGUCCCGAAGCGAUUUCCAUAGUUGUUGAACCCCAAGUUGCGCUUACAUGUCGGUCAUCAACACUCACUAUUUUGGGGUCCCGGAGUGAUUUCCAUGAUUCACGAACCCCGGGGUGCGUUUACGUGUCGGUCAUCAACACUCAUAGUUUUGGCCGAUUCUGGGCCUUUUCGUGGACUAUAUAUUACUCGUUGUUUUGGGGUCCCGGAUUGAUUUCCAUGAUUAACGAACCCCGAGGUGCGUUUAUGUGUCAGUCAUCAACACUCACAGUUUGGCUGAUUCUGGCCCAUUUCAUGGACUAUUACUCACUAUUUUGGGGUCCCGGAGUGAUUUCCCCAAUUCAUGAAUGCCGAGGUGCGUUUACGUGUCGGUCGUCAACACUUGCGGUUUUUUUCGAUUCUAACCCGUCUCGUGGACUAUUACUCACCGUUUUGGGGCCCCAAUGCGAUUUCCAUGGUUGUUGAACCCCAAUUUGCGCUUAUGAGUCGGUCAUCAAGAAUCACAGUUUUGGCCGAUUUUGCCCUGUUUCAGUGACUAUUACUCAUUGUUUUGGGGUCCCGGAGCGAUUUCCAUGAUCGACGUACCCCAGGGUGCGUUUACGUGUCGUUCACUAGUAAUCCUAGUUUUGUUCGAUUCUAGGCUCUUUUCAUGGACUAUUACUCACCGUUUUGGGUUCCUAGAGCUAUUUCCAUGAUUGACGAUCGCCGGGGUGCGUUUUUGUGUCCGUCGUCAACACUUGCAAUUUUGGCCAAUUCUGGUCCAUUUUGUGGACCAUUACUCACCGUUUUGGGGUCCCAAAGUCAUUUCCAUGGUUGUCGAACUCCAAGGUGCGCUUAGGAGUCGGUCAUCAACAAUCGCUGCUUGGGAUGAUUCUGGCCCGUUUCUUAGACAAUUACUCAGUUUUGGGGUCCGGGAGUGAUUUCUACGAGACGAACCCCUGGGUGCGUUUACGUGUCGGUCAUCAAGACUCACAAUUUUGGACGAUAUUACUCUGUAUCGUGCACAAUUGCUCACUGUUUUGGGGUCCCAGAGCGAUUUCCACGUUUGACGAUCCCCGAGGUGCAUUUACGUGUCCGCCAUCAGCACUGACACUUUUGGCCAAUUCUGACCCGUUUCGUGGACUAUUACUCUAUUUCCAUAGUUGUUGAACCCCAAGGUGCGCUUACGUGUCGGUCAACAAUGCUCACUAUUUUGGGGUCCCGGAGUGAUUUCCACGAUUAACGAACCCCGAGGUGCGCUUAUGUGUAGGUCAUCAACACUUACAAUUUGACCGAUUCUGGCCCAUUUACUCAUUAUUUUGGGGUCCUAGAGUGAUUUCCAGGAUUCACGAACGUCGGGCGCGUUUACGUGUCGGUCAUCAACACUCACGAUUUUUGUCGAUUUUGACCCUUGUCGUUGACUACUACUCACUGUUUUGGGGUCCCACAGCGAUUUCCAUGGUUGUUGAACCCCAAGGUACGGUUACGUGUCGGUCAUCAAGAAUCAUAGUUUGGCCGAUUCUGCCCUGUUUCAUGGACUGUUACUCAUUGUUUUGGGGUCCCGGAGCGAUUUCCAUGAUUGAUGUACCCCGGGGUGCGUUUACGUGUCGUUCACCACCAAUCCUAGUUUCGUUUGACUCUGGUCUCUUUCAUGGACUAUUACUCACCGUUUUGGGUUCAGAGCUAUUUCCACGAUUGACGAUCCCCGGGGUGCGUUUAUGUGUCCGUCGUAACCACUCGCAAUUUUGGCCGAUUCUAGCCCAUUUCGUGGACUAUUACUCACGGAUUUGGGGUCCCAAAGCGAUUUCCGUGGUUGUCGAACCCAAGGUGCGCUUAUGUGUCGACAAUCGCAGUUUGUGCUGAUUCUGGCCCGUUUCUUUGACUAUUACUCAGUUUUGGGGUCCUGGAGUGAUUUCUAUGAUUGUCGAACCCCGGGGUGCGUUUAUGUGUCGGUCCUCAACACUCACGAUUUUGGCAGAUUCUGGUUCGUUUCGUGCACUAAUACUCAUUGUUUAGGGGUCCCAGAGCAAUUUCUACGUUUGACGAUCCCCAGGAUGAGUUUACGUGUCCGUCAUCAACACUCACAGUAUUUGCCUAUUCUGACCCGUUUCGUGGACUAUUACUUAUUGUUUUGGGGCCCUGAAGCGAUUUCCAUAGUUGUUGAACCCUAAGGUGCGCUUACGUGAAGGUCGUCAACACUCACAGUUUUGGCCGACUCUGGCCCAUUUCGUGGACUAUUGCUCAAUAUUUUGGGGUCCCGGAGUGAUUCGCUAAUUCAUGAACGCCGGGGUGCAUUUACGUGUCGGUCAUCAACACUCGUGGUUUUUGUCGAUUCUGACCUAUUUCGUGGACUAUUAGUCACCGUUUUGGUGUCCCAAAGCGAUUUCCAUGGUUGUUGAACCCCAAGGUGCGCUUAUGUGUCGGUCAUCAACAAUUGUAGUUUUGGCUGAUUCUGCCCUAUUUCACGGACUAUUACUCAUUGUUUUGGGGUUCCGAAGUGAUUUCCACGAUUGACGUACCCUAGGGUGCGUUUACGUGUCGUUCACCAGCAAUCCUAGUUGUGUACGAUUUUGGGCUCUUUCAUGGACUAUUACUCACCGUUUUGGGGUCCCAGAGCUAUUUCCAUGAUUGACGAUCCCUGGGGUGCGUUUAUGUGUCCGUCAUCAACACUCGCAGUUUUGGCCGAUUUCUGGCCCUGAGCGAUUGCCAUGAUCGACAAACCCCGGGGUGCGUUUAUGUAUCGUUCAUCAAUAAUCCUAGAUUUCUCCAAUUCUGGGCUCUCUCAUGCACUAUUACACACCGUUUUGGGGUCCCAUAGCGAUUUCCAUGGUUGUCGAACCCCAAGGUGUGCAUACGUGUUGGUCAUCAAGACUCGCAGUUUGGCCGAUUCUGGCCCGUUUCUUGGAGUAUACUCAGUUUUGGUGUCCCAAUGUGAGUUCCACGAUUAACGAACCCCAUGGUGCGUUUACGUGUCGGUCAUCAACACUCACAAUUUUGGCCGAUUCUGGUCCGUUUCAUGCACUAUUACUAACUGUUUUUGGGUCCUAGAGCAAUUUCCACGAUUGACGAUCCCUGGGGUGUGUUUACGUGUCCGUCGUCAACUCUCACAGUUUUGGCCAAUUCUGACCCGUUUCGUUGACUAUUACUCACCAUUUUGGGGUCCCUGAGCGAUUUCCAUGAUUGACGAACCCCGAGGUGCGUUUAUGUAUCGUUCAUAAAUAAUCCUAGGUUUGUCUGAUUCUGGGGUCUUUCAUGGACAAUUACUCAGUGUUUUGGGGUCCCAAAGCGAUUUCCAUGGUUGUCAAACCCCAAGGUGCGGUUACAUGUCAGUCAUCAUCAAUUGAAGUUUAGGCUGAUUCUGGCCCGCUUCUUGGACUAUUGACGAACCAUGGGGUGCGUUUACGUGUGGGUCAUCAACACUCACAAUUUUGGCCGAUUCUGGUCCGUUUCGGGCACUAUUGCUCACUGUUUCGGGGGUCCCAGAGCGAUUUCCACGUUUGAUGAUCCCCGGGGUGCGUUUACGUGUCCGUCAUCAACACUCACUGUUUUGGCCAAUUCCGACCCGUUUCGUGGACUAUUACUCACCAUUUUGGGGUCCCCAAGCGAUUUCCAUAGUUGUUGAACCCAAGGUGGACUUACAUGUCGGUCUUCAACACUCUCUAUUUUGGAGUCCAAGAGUUAUUUCCACGAUUCACGAACCUCAGGGUGCGUUUAUGUGUCGGUCAUCAACACUCAUAGUUUUGGCCGACUCUGGGCCUUUUCGUGGAGUAUUACUCGCUGUUUUGGGGCCCAGAAUGAUUUCCAUGAUUAACGUACCCCGAGGUGCGCUUACAUGUUGGUCAUCAACACUUGCGGUUUAUGUCGAUUCUGACCCAUUUCAUGGACUAUUACUCACCAUUUUUGGCUCCCAAGGCGAUUUCUUUGGUUGUUGAGCCACAAGGUGCUCUUACGUAUCGGUCAUCAAAAAUCGCAAUUUUGGUUGAUUCUUGCCCGUUUCAUGGACUAUUACUCACUGAUUUGGGGUCCCUGAGCGAUUUCCUUGAUUUAUGAACCCCGGGGUGCGUUUAUGUGUCGUUCAUCAAUAAUCCUAGCUUUGUCCGAUUCUGGGCUCUUUCAUGGACCCCCAAGGUGAUUUCCAUGGUUGUCGACCCCCAAGGUGUGCUUACGUGUUGGUCGUCAAGACUCGCAGCUUGGGCUGAUUCUGGCCCGUUUCUUCGACUAUUACUCAGUUUUGUAGUCCAGAAGUGAUUUCCAUGAUUGACGAACCCCGGGGUGCUUUUACGUGUCGGCCAUCAACACUCACAAUUUUGGCCGAUUCUGGCCCGUUUUGUGGACUAUUACUCACCGUUUUGGGGUCUCGGAGUGAUUUCCAUGAUUGACGAUCCCCGGGGUGCGUUUAUGUGUCGGUCAUCAACACUCGCGUGUUUGUCCAUUCCGACCCGUCUCGUGGACUAAUACUCACCAUUUUGGGGUCCCAAAGCGAUUUCCAUGGUUGUUGAACCCCAAUGUGCGUUUAUGUGUCGUUCAUCAAUAAUCCUAGCUUUGUCCGAUUCUGGGCUCUUUCAUGGACCCCCAAGGUGAUUUCCAUGGUUGUCGACCCCCAAGGUGUGCUUACGUGUUGGUCGUCAAGACUCGUAGUUUGGGCCGAGUUUGACCCGUUUCUUGGACUGUUAGUAAAUUUUGGGGUCCCAAAGCGAUUUCCAUGGUUGUUGAACCCUGCUAUGUCUUGAGCUAGCGUUGGUUUUCCCCGAAGAGGAGAGGGUGAUGCAGCAAGUGUACCGUAAGUAUUUCCCUCAGUUUUGAGAACCAAGGUAUCAAUCCAGUAGGAGGCUCCUCAAAAGUCCCACGCACCUACACAAACAAACUGAGAACUCGCAACCAAGACAAUAAAGGGGUUGUCAAUCCCUUCACGGCCACUUGCGAAAGUGAGAUCUGAUAGAGAUAGUAUGAUAAGAUAAAUAUGUUUUUGUUAUUUUAUAAUAUAGAUGCAAAAGGUAAAGAUGCAAAUAAAAGUAUAUUGAAAGCAAAUAUGAUAAGAGAUAGAUACGGGGGUCAUAGGUUCCACUAGAGGCUUCUCUCAAGAUAGCAUAAGUAUUACGGUGGGUGAACAAAUUACUGUCGAGCAAUUGAUACAAAAGCGCAUAGUUAUGAUCAUCUAGGCAUGAUCAUGUAUAUAGGCAUCACAUCCAUAACAAGUAGACCGACUCCUGCCUGCAUCUACUACUAUUACUCCACACAUCGACCGACUCCUGCCUGCAUCUAGAGUAUUAAGUUCAUAAGAACAGAGUAACGCAUUAAGCAAGAUGACAUGAUGUAGAGGGAUAAACUCAUGCAAUAUGAUAUAAACCCCAUCUUUUUAUCCUCGAUGGCAACAAUACAAUACGUGUCUUGUAACCCUUUCUGUCACUAGGUAAGAACACCGCAAGAUUGAACCCAAAGCUAAGCACUUCUCCCAUGACAAGAAAGAUCAAUCUAGUAGGCCAAACCAAAAGUGAUAAUUCGAAGAGACUUGCAAAUAUAACUCAAUCAUACAUAAAAGAAUUCAGAGAAGAAUCAAAUAUUAUUCAUAGAUAAAUCUGAUCAUAAACCCACAAUUCAUCGGAUCUCGACAAACACACCAUAAAAAGAGAUUACAUCGAAUAUAUCUCCACAAGAGAGGGGGAGAACAUUGUAUUGAGAUCCAAAAAGAGAGAAGAAGCCAUCUAGCUAAUAACUAUGGACCCGUAGGUCUGUGGUAAACUACUCACAACUCAUAGGAGGGGCAAGGAUGUUGAUGUAGAAGCCCUCCGUGGUCGAUUCCCCCUCCGGCAGAGUGCCGGCGAAGGCUCCAAGAUGGGAUCUCGCGGAUACAGUAGGUUACGGCAGUGGAAAUUGUGUUUCGUUGUGCUCCUAGAUGUUUUCGGGGUACGUAGGUAUAUAUAGGAGGAAGAAGCACUAGUGCAGAACCGGGCAAUAGCACCGGUUCGUAAGGCCUUUUAGUGCCGGUUCCAUAACCGUCACUAAAGUGUGGUCACUAAAGGCCCCCCCCUUUAGUACCGGUUUAGCACGAACCGGUGCUAAAGGGCAACCACGUGGCACGAGCCAGCUCCGGGGGCCUGGAGCCCUUUAGUACCGGUUGGUAAGACCAACCGGUACUAUAAGGUUUGGGGGGUUUUAGUUUUAUGGUUUCUUUUUCAUUUAAUUUUGUGUUUCCAUUUUAAUUCUUUUUCGUUUACUGGUAUUUUACGAUACUACACAUUGUACACGUUAUGCAUAUAUAUAUAUAUAAAUAGAAUUUCUAGUAGAACCAAUCAUGCAUAUAUAUAUCAUCAAUGUCUCACAAACCAUCAUAUUAAUUAAUUCACACAUACACACAUGUAUAGCUAUAUACAAUUUCUCCUACAUAUGCAUUGCCUUCGGAGCCAAUGGCAUUAUAGCCUAAUUGGUGCCUUCGGAGCACGAUGACAAUUGGAAGUGGUUUUCAUGGGGGCGGUAGCGGGUAAUAGUAUUCUCCCUUCGGAUUUAUGACCUGGUCGAGCAAAAAUCCCGCUAUUUCCUCUUGAAGUGCUUCUACGCGCUCCGUUUCUAGGAGCUUCGCCCGCACCUCUCUGAACUGUUAAGAAGGAGAUCAAUAUGCAUGUGUAUUAGUUGUGUGACUAGAUAUCGAUAAUGGUGUAAAAAUUGUGAAUAGUGUUUUGACAAGCGUACCCAGUCCUGUCUUUGAGAUCUGCUCCUUUCGGACGCCAUCAUGCGAAUGUUCUCGCAAACGCAGAAUGCACACAGAUCAGUCCCCUGCGCCUGCUUCAGGGCCUUUACGAGAAUGGAAUUUGAUCAGAUAAUAAUUAAUCAAGCAUGAUAAUUAAAGAGAUGGCAGCUAGCUAGCUAGCUAGUACUACUUAAUUACUUACCUUGGGUCUUCCCCAUUUAAGCUUUUCUUUCCAUUCGCCGUCCAUGACCCUGAUGAACCUUGCCCAAGCCCUGAACGCCUAAAAAGAAAAUGAAUAAAGGGGUUAUUAAAUAGUUCAUAUCAUGAAAUGACGAACUAAAUAGGCAGAGAUAUAUAGUUAAUAAUGAUUGAAAUUACCUGUUGACUAUCCCAAACAAGAUGUUAUAGUCAGUUUUUUCUUUGAGUAGUGAGUCCAGUAUUUCAACUGUUCCGGCGUCAACUUUAAUGAUACACAAGACCCAGUGAUAUCUGCAUGCACACACGUUUGCAUGUCUUAAUUAAGCGGGCAUAUGUAAGCAAAAACAUGUAGCUAGCUAGUAGGCAAAAACAGAGAAUUUGUAGUACAAGACAGUGUGACUCACUGGAAGUUGUAAGGAAGUAGUCUAUCUUCAUUGUAUUUGAGGCGCUUCAAGAACUCUAGCAUGCUAUCCUCUAUGGCCUUUCGAUGACGUUCAUCUAAUUUCCAUGUGUAUUCAUUAACGGUGUUUGGGUCAAUGAACCCAAUGCCAUAGCGUCCACCUUUUCUCAUUUCAUACAUCUUCAUCCUGCAUAUAAUACCACAGAAAAGAAUAUAGUGAGGAUAAUUACAGGUAAUGAUUGAUCAAAAGGAUCAGUACAACUAGCUUGAGACUUAAAUUACAGAAAGAAAUCACUUACAGACAAUAGCAACUGACGAUAGAUUUGUCAAGUGCGUCUUGAUUGUAUAACUGAAACAGUUCAAAAUACUCAACGGAUACAGCUUUCUCAUGGUAGUAAUGAUCCUCCUUGACAUUCACCAUGAGGGACAAUCGAUCGGAAAUCUUGGUAAUGUCCAUGUACCAUUGAUGCAAUUCAUAUAUUUUCGUUGGGAGGUUCUUGACCUUGUCUGGCUCAACCAAAGGUUGGCCCCGGACAUAUUUCCGUUUUAUUUCAUCCUCUCUAAGCACAGGCAUGGGCUCGAUCUCGAGGAGUUGUCCAACAGUGAUUUUGAGAACUUCAGCCUGCAUUAUAUGCUGCUCCGUUAUUACCACAUUGCCCACCUCAGGAACGUAAACUGUUUGCCCACAAUAAUAUUGGGCGCACGUACUGUCACGUGUUGUUGGUACAACAAGCGAGGGGAUCGAUUGCGCCGCCUGUUCUCCCAGCUGGGGAAUGGUUUUCCCGCAUUUUUUGACAGCUGCUUCUUGUUUGCUCGAUCCCGAGCUCGCCUCCUUAAGUACACGUGCUUGAUUUAACUUCCUGAUGUGGCGCUCAUAGUCUGUGUGAACAGGCUUGGGAGCUGGUGGUUGAGCCAUACGAAUGAAGUGGUCAAUCGUUUCCUCAGGCACUUUCUCCCUUGGCGGUGUUGGCGGUUUUGGUGCAAAAUGGGCUUCCACCUCGGACUUUGAUAUGGCUGCGAUUUCCUCCUCGGACCUGUCAUAAGCCCUCUACGGAAGAGGCGUGAGGCUUGGACCAUAUUUAUAUUGCUUACCUCCGCCUGUACUUCCUGUACUACCUCGACUCAUACCGCUAUGCACCAUAGCUACGGGGUGUCUCUUCUGUGAUUGCUGAGGCGGCGGAGACGGCUGACGGGGCUGAGUUGGACGAGGAGGAGUGGCCGCCUGAAGCUGUGCCGGUCUUGGAGGAGGAGUGGCCUGAGGUUGUGCCGGACUUGGAGGAGGAGUGGAUGUCUGACGCUGUGGCGGACUUGGAGGAGGAGGAGUGGCCUGACACUUUGCCGGACUUGGAGGAGGAGUGGCCUGACACUUUGCCGAACUUGGUGGACUUGCAGGAGCGGGAGACUGCUGACUCGGUGGCGGACUUCGACGAGGAGUCGGCUGACCCGGUGUCGGUGGCCUUCGAAUGAUGAUGCAAUCCUUUUUCCAUAGGAUGAUACAAUGUUUGGCGUCUCCGAGAAAGCGCUCGUCAUCACCUCCAGGAUAGUCAAGCUCUAGCUCCGAAUAUGGGUCCACCACCUCAUCAACCAAGACACGAGCAUAGCCCGCUGGAAUCGGGUUGCAAUGGAAGGUUGCCUCGGGGGGAUUUGUAAAAGCAACGGCGUCCGCCACCUUCAUGGAUAUGUUCUUCAUUUUGACGUGUAGCUCGCAGCUAGUGUUCUCCGUGAUGUCAUCCACGGGGUAUCUACCCAGCAUUACGUCAUCCGGGGCGGAACCAACACUGCUUCUCGGCAUGGAUGGGGCGGUGCUAUCCAAUGCUGGAUCAUUCGCUAGCUGCUGCAGCUGCUGAGACCCCCUUUGCUGGGUAAGUGAGUCGAUCUGCUCCUGCUGCUGCUGGAAUUUGACUACCAAUUCCGCUUGACUUGCGUCUAGGCCUUGAAGGCGUUCAUAGUCCCGCUUCCUCUGCUCCUCCUCCAUCUUCCUCUUCUUCUCCUCCGCAAUCUUCUUUCUCGCACGGGUUCUGUAGUCGUUGUUCCAGUCUGAGAACCCCUCAUACCACGGAAUAGCGCCCUUGCCUCGUGUUCUUCCCGGGUGUUCAGGAUUUCCCAGGGCACGCAUAAGCUCGUCGUUCUCUCUGUUGGGCUGGAACACCCCCGAUCGUGCCUCUUCUAUUGCAACAAGUAUCCCAUCGUCGGCUCCCUUCAGACUUGCCCUCGUCGAAACAUUGCCUGUCUUCGGGUCCAACUCCCCCCCAUGCGCAUAGAACCAUGUCCUGACCCUGGGGGGCCAGCUCUUAGUAACCGGAGUGGCACCUGCAUCCUCCAUCUCUUUCUCAGACUUAUCCCACUUAGGCAUUGCCACCGCAUAGCCACCUGGCCCCAGCUUAUGGAACUUAUCCUUUUUUUCGGCAUUCUUCUUGUUUAUUCUCGACCGUUCCUUAGCUAAUUCCGAAUCCUUGAAUUUCACGAAAUCGUCCCAAUGAGCACGUUGGUUCUCUAGUGUUCCCUCGAAUACUGGAGUCUUCCUUCCUCCCUUGACGUACUUGUCCCAUUCACGAUUCUUGUGGUUCUUGAAUGCAACCGCCAUCUUCCUAAGAGCAGCGUCCUUGACUUUCUGCACAUCCGCUUCUGUGAAAUGAUCUGGUAGGGUGAAAUGUUCCAUGAGAGUAUCCCAAAGCAGAUCUUUUUGAUUCUUGUUGACAAAAGUAACAUCUGGACGUGGAGCAACGUCCUCUUUGUCUUUUUGUCUUUUGUCUUUUGCUGGCUCUCUCCAUUCUUGAAGGGAGAUCGGGAGUUGGUCCUUCACAAGAACUCCGCACUGACGAACGAACUUGUCCGCAAUCUUCUUAGGCGCUAAUGGUUCGCCACUAGGUCUGACUGCCUCGAUAUUGUACUUUACGCCCUCCUUCAACUUUUUGUUCGGGCCUCGUUUCAUCCUUUCGGCUGAAGAUUUGCUUGAUCCGGAUGGCUGAAAGAACAAAGAUCGAUUCGUUAAUAUAUCUUCAAGUCAUUUAAAACAUGUGAUGAUCACCAGAUACCUGCUUAUAUAAAUAUAUAUACCUCGCCGGUCUUUGUUGUUUCAGGAUCAACAUGUUCUUCGUCAUCGUCAUAAUCGUAGUUCAUGACUUCAUCAAUUCGGUCGUCGCGAUCGAAUAUCAUAUCACCCUCUCUGGUGUUGUUUAGAAAUUCGGAGCCGUCAUAAUCUUCUUCAUUCUGAUCAUCAUUUGGCCCGCGUAUCAUAUCGAACAUGGUCUGUUCUCCCUCUCUGUCGGUAUUGUCUGCCAUAGCUUUUAUUUAACUAAUUCAAAAGAAAUAUAAAACAAUUUAGUAUUCAAAUUACAUCGUCUCGAAUAAUAGAUAUAAUCUCGAAUACUUCGUCUAGAAUAAUAGAUAUAAUCUCGAAUACAUCGUCUCGAAUAAUAUAUAAUAUUGAAUUGUACAUCACUGGCUAGCUGAUUAAAGAUCGAAUACUACAGAAGAAUCUAGGACACUCGCGGUUCCUGCGGCGCGGGCGGUGGACACCCGAAGAGAAGGAACCCUCACAGGAUCAUAGCUGAAGUGAGAUCCCCGAAGAUACUGCCAGGUAUUGGAGAACCUGCCGCCCUCUAACGCAACCAUGUAGCGAUGGACGUGCUCGUCCUCCUCCCUAACACGGCGACGUACCACCUCCGGCGGGGCCGGGUCCCUCCGCACCGAAACUGGCCCACACGAACGCCACCAAACGAGAUCAGGGUCGACGAUGGGACCCGGGGCCGGGUUCCUCAUCAAGCGGCGCGCCCCUCCAGGCAGCACCUCCCAGUGUCAGCCCGGCGGAGCCCAGUCCCGGACAUGGGUCGGCUGGACGUCGUCGCGGACGGGUCGACGGCGAGGAUGCGGGCCGGGCAUCGUCGAGAACAAAUACUAGCUAUAUGCCCGCAAAAAGUAACAUUUUUUUAAUGAUUGGAUUUUGAUAACUAAAAUUUCUAACAUUUCUAUAUAACACUAAUUAUGCUAAUCUAAAUAAUCUAAAUAACACUAAAAUUUCUAACAUUUCCAACAUUUCUAACAUUUCUAUAUAACACUAAUUUCUAACUGAUUAAACACUAAUUAUAUCCAUCUAACAUGCAUUCAUACAUAUAUAAUAGUGAAAAAAUAAUAACCUAAAUAAUCUAAACUAAUUAAACAUACAAAAUACAUGUGUGUGUGUGUACUAAUUAAACACUAAUUAUCUAAACUAAUUAAACAUACAAAAUAAUAAUCUAAAUAAUCUAAACUAAUUAAAGACUAAUUAUCUAAAUUAAUUAAACAUGCUUGUGUGUGUGUGUGUGUACGGGCUCGGGGAGGGCUCACAGCGGGCGACGGCCACGGCUAGGCGACGGCGAGGCGACGGCGAGGCGACGGCGGGGAGGGCGCGACGGGGACGGGCCCGGGGCGGCGACGGGGACGGGGGCGGCGAUGGGGACGGGGGCGGCGACAGAGACGAGCGGCGACAGAGACGAUCGAGGGCGGCGGCGACGGCGACGGAGAUGGAAACAGAGGAACGAACAGAGAGGGAAACUGAAAUUUUCGUAGCCGUUGUAUAUAUAGAAGGCACCUUUAGUACCGGUUGGAACCACCAACCGGUACUAAAGGCCUGUUUUGGCCAGGUCAAGCGGCGGGAAGCGACCCCCUUUAGUACCGGGUGGUAGCACAAACCGGUACUAAAGGCCCCCCCUUUAGUACCGGUUUGUGCCACGACCCGGUACUAAAGGGGGUGCGCUGGCGCAGGUGCGGUGCGACAAGUUUAGUCCCACCUCGCUAGCCGAGGGACGACCGCACUGGUUUAUAAACCCCCGUGCGGUCGCUCUCUCGAGCUCCUCUACAAAGCAGGCUUACUGGGCCUACAUGUUCUUUGCAGCCCUGUGGGCCCACUUGGCCUUUGCGGGCCUGCAUCCUGGCCCAACGACAGGUUGGGUUUCUAGUCGUAUGUAGGCCGCUCUGGCCUAGUAGGCGGGCUUAUUUUUAUUUUAUUUUUUGCUUUAUUUAUUUUUGUGUUGUUUUUUUGUGUAUUUAGAGUUUCUUUGUGAACAUUUUUGUUUUAGGUACAAAAAAUUACAAACUUUCUGUUAGGGCUUUUUUUUAUUAUUUUUUUGCUUUAUUUAUUUUUGUGUUGUUUUUUUUGUGUAUUUAGAGUUUCUUUGUGAACAUUUUUGUUUUAGGUACAAAAAAUUACAAACUUUCUGUUAGUGCCCGUAGUUUUCAAAUUUGAAUAGUUUAAAUUUUGAAUUAUUUGAAAUUAGUGUGAAUCACUAGUUUGUGAAUAACUUAACUUUAAAAAUCAAUAAAGGCAUGAAAGAAUUUGUUUGCACAUAAAAUUUCUUCGCGUUUCAAAUGCCAAAACACAUAACUACCCUAACUAUUACAGAGAUUCCCCUCUCGGUGCGAAACACAGAAGAAAGUGAUGAUAGCUAGUGAAGCCGAUCACAUCCCAGAUCUUUGGGUGUGAAACUUUUUCUUCGCGUGUGUCCCUUUGCGCCAUAACCAUGGAAAAUCUUCAUCAUUUAACGGGAUGCUCGGGUCAAUAUUCACUGUGAAUGGAGCAAUUUCAUCAAACUUUUCAUAAUCUUCUGACUUGUCUGUCUUGUCAUCCACUCCCACGAUGUUUCUCUUCCCAGAAAGAACUAUGUGCCGCUUUGGCUCAUCGUACGAUGCAUUCGCUUCCUUAUCUUUUCUUUUUCUUGGCUUGGUAGACAUGUCCUUCACAUAGAAAACCUGUGCCACAUCAUUGGCUAGGACGAAUGGUUCGUCUGCAUACGCAAGAUUGUUGAGAUCCACUGUUGUCAUUUCGUACUGCGGGUCUUCCGUUACCCCGCCUCGUGUCAUAUUGACCCAUUUGCACCGAAACAAAGGGACCUUCAAAACACGUCGAUAGUCAAGUUCCCAUAUAUCCUGUAUAUAACCAUAAUAUGUUUCCUUUCCCGUCUUGGUUUCUGCAUCAAAGCGGACACCACUGUUUUGGUUGGUGCUUUUCUUAUCUUCGGCGAUCGUGUAAAAUGUAUUACCAUUUAUCUCGUACCCUUUGAAAGUCAUUAUAUUCGAAGAUGGUAACUAGGACAGCAAGUACAGGUCAUCUUUAAUAGAGGUGUCAUGCAUGGUAUGUGUCUGCAACCAGCUGGCGAAACUCCUGGUUUGUUCACGUGUAAUCCAGUCAUCAGACCGCUCCGGGUGUUUGGAGCGUAGCAAAUUCUUGUGUUCAUCCAUAUACGGAGCCACCAAGGCGGAAUUCUGUAGAACUGUGUAGUGUGCUUCAGUGAGAGAAUGUCCGUCCAUACAUAUUAUUUGUUCCCCUCCUAGCGUGCCUUUUCCAUCCAGUCUGCCCUUAUGCCGCGAUUCAGGAACAUCAAUCGGCUUAAGGUUAGGAAUAAAGUCAAUACAAAACUCAAUGACCUCCUCAUUUUGAUGGCCCUUGGAGAUGCUUCCUUCUAGCCUAGCACGGUUAUGAACAUAUUUCUUUAAGACUCCCAUGAACCUCUCAAAGGGGAACAUAUUGUGUAGAAAUACAGGACCCAAAACGUUAAUCUCUUGGCACAGGUGAACUAGGACGUGUGUCAUGAUGUUGAAGAAGGAUGGUGGGAACACCAACUCGAAACUGACAAGACAUUGCACCAAAUCAUUCUGUAACCUUGGUAUGAUUUCUGGAUCGAUUACCUUCUGAGAGAUUGCAUUGAGAAAUGUACAUAGCUUCACAAUGGCUAAUCGAACGUUUUCCGGUAGAAGCCCCCUCAAUGCAACCGGAAGCAGUUGCGUCAUAAUCACUUGGCAGUCAUGAGACUUUAGGUUCUGGAACUUUUUCUCUGCCAUGUUUAUUAUUCCCUUUAUAUUCGACGAGAAGCCAGACGGUACAUUAAUAUUGAGCAGGCAUUCAAAGAAGAUUUCCUUCUCUUCUUUGGUAAGAGCGUAGCUUGCAUGACCCUGAUGUAUGCCGUCUUCUCCGUGCAUACGUUGCUGGUCCUCCCGUGCCUCAGGUGUAUCUUUUGUCUUCCCAUACACGCCCAGGAAGCCAAGCAGGGUCACGCAAAGAUUCUUCGUCACGUGCAUCACAUCGAUUGCGGAGCGGACCUCUAGGUCUUUCCAAUAUGGCAGGUCCCAAAAUAUAAAUUUCUUCUUCCACAUGGGUGCGCGUCCGUCAGCGUCCUUUGGAACAGGUUGUCUGCCAGGACCCUUUCCAAAUAUCACCUUCAAAUCCUUGACCAUAUCAUGUACAUUAGCACCAGUACCGUGGCGAGGCUUCGUCCGGUGAUCCGCCUCACCUUUGAAAGGCUUGCCUUUCUUUCUUACGGGAUGCCUGCUCGGAAGAAAUCGACGAUGUCCCAGGUACACAUUCUUCUUGCAACUAUUCAAAUAUAUACUGUCGGUAUCAUCCAAACAGUGCGUGCAUCCAUGGUAUCCCUUGUUUGUCUGUCCUGAAAGGUUACUGAGAGCAGGCCAAUCAUUGAUGGUCACGAACAGCAAUGCCUUUAGGUCAAAUUCUUCCUGUUUGUGCUCAUCCCAUGCACGUACACCUGUUCCAUUCCACAGUUGUAAGAGUUCUUCAACUAAUGGCCUUAGGUACACAUCAAUGUCAUUGCCGGGUUGUUUAGGGCCUUGGAUGAGCACUGGCAUCAUAAUGAACUUCCGCUUCAUGCACAACCAAGGAGGAAGGUUAUACAAACAUAGAGUCACAGGCCAGGUGCUAUGGUUGCUGCUCUGCUCCCCAAAAGGAUUAAUGCCAUCUGCGCUUAGACCAAACCAUACGCUCCUUGCGUCAUCUGCAAACUCCUUCCCGUACUUUCUUUCGAUUUUUCUCCACUGCGACCCGUCAGCGGGUACUCUCAACUUUCCGUCUUUCUUACGGUCUUCUCUGUGCCAUCGCAUCGCCUUGGCAUGCUCUUUGUUUUGGAACAAACGUUUCAACCGUGGUAUUAUAGGAGAAUACCACAUCACCUUGGCAGGAAUCUUCUUCCUGGGGCGCUCGCCCUCGACAUCACCAUGCUCAUCGCGGCCGAUCUUAUAGCGCAAUGCACCACAUACCGGGCAAGCGUUCAAAUCCUCGUACUCACCAUGGUAGAGGAUGCAAUCAUUAGGGCAUGCAUGUAUCUUCUGCACCUCUAACCCUAGAGGGCAGACAACCUUCUUUGCUUCGUAUGUACUCUCAGGCAAUUCGUUGUCCUUUGGAAGCAUAUCCUUUAUCAUUACCAGCAACUUUCCAAAUCCCUUGUCAGAUACACCAUUCUCUGCCUUCCAUUGCAGCAAUUCCAGUGUGGUGCCCAGCUUUUUCUUGUCACCUAUGCAAUUCGGGUACAACAAUUUUUUGUGAUCCUCUAACAUGCGCUGCAACUUCUUCUUCUCCAAAUCACUUGCACAGUUUCUCUUUGCAUCGGUAAUGGCCCGACCUAGAUCAUCAACGGGCUCAUCUGAUGCCUCUUCUUCAGCUUCUUCCCGCAUUGCCGGCUCAGCUUCUUCCCGCAUUACCGGCUCAGCUUCUUCCCCCAUUGUUGUAUCAUCGUAUUCAGGGAACCCUUGGCCAAGAUAGCUGUCGUCGUCCUCUUCUUCUUCAUUGUCUUCCAUCAUCACCCCUCUUUUUCCGUGCUUGGUCCAAACAUUAUAGUGGGGCAUGAAACCAGACUCAAACAGGUGGACGUGAAUGGUUCUUGACGUAGAGUAAUUGCGACCAUUCUUACAGCCAGCACAUGGACAAGGCAUAAAACCAUCCUCCCGCUUGUUUGCCUCAGCCGCAAGCAGAAAAGUAUGCACGCCCUCAACGAACUGGGGAGAGCAUCGGUCAUCGUACAUCCAUUGCCGGCUCAUCUUCAUUACACAACACCGAAUAGACCAAAUUAAUACAAGUUCAUACAUAAAGUUCAUACAACACUUAAAUGCAACAACAAAUAACUCUCUAGCUAAAGCAUUUAAAUGCAACAACAAAUGCGAUCAAGAUCGCAACUAAGGUAACAAUUGAUCCAACAGCAUAAUGAUACCAAGCCUCACUAUCGAUGGCAUAUUUUCUAAUCUUUCUAAUCUUCAAGGGCAUUUUCUCCUUCUUGAUCUUGUGAUCAUCGACGACAUCGGCAACAUGCAACUCCAAUUCCAUCUUCUCCCCCUCAAUUCUUUUCAAUUUUUCUUUCAAGUACUCGUUUUCUAUUUCAACUAAAUUUAACCUCUCGACAAUAGGGUUGGUUGGAAUGUCCGGUUCACAUACCUCCUAGAUAAAAAUAUCUAUGACAACUUGAUGGGCAUAAUUUGUCAUAAACACGAAAUGCAACAAAUAGUUUUAAAAGAGAAUAUACCACAUCCGAAUCAUAACAAGGACGAGGGCCGACGGGGACGGAUAUCAAAACCAUGGCACUAUGUAUAACAAAGAACGUACGGGUAAGAUAAUUAUUA
rnacentral:lncRNA from 1 species